rnacentral:tRNA from 4 species
GGGGAAGUGGCGGAACGGUAGACGCGCUGGCUUCAGGAGCCAGUGUCCGUAAGGGUGUGGGGGUUCAAAUCCCCCCUUCCCCACCA